AAUUAAUCAUGUGAUUCUCCUCAGAGAUAAAGGAUGAGAAGGCUAUGAGUUGUUAAUGGGAAUCUGGGGGUAGGAAGGCUGACAGCGUUGGUCACACACAGCUGCAUUCAAAGUAUAAAUACAGGAUGUCAGAUGGAAAGAAACUUAAAGAUCAUCUUGCUCAGAUCCUCCAUUUUGCAGGUGAGAAAGUAGAAUCAGGGAGGUGAAAUGAUUUGUCCAAAGUCACACAGAAAAGCUAUUAAGAGCCAAAAACAGAUGUUACUUAAAUAAGAUACUUGGGUUUAAAUUGGCUUUUAAAAAACACCUGUGUGAAGACUGGUGUUGGUGGCUUCAACGUGGUGUGGCCAUUUCCCUGCCCCCACCCUGCCCAUCUACAAACUCCACAGAAAUGAUAGAAAAGAUUUUUUAAGAAGAAGUCAUCCUUGUAAAAAAUAAUGAAUACUCUCAGUCUAAAAUCUAGGAUGGCUCCCUGAAAGGUGAACGCAGUCAGGAAGCCAGUGAGGAAAGCCUAGGAGAGCAGAGGGAAGAGAUGGCUGGAGACAGCGGGGCAGGAAGCAUGUUUUCCUCCAAUGGGAAGAAUGAGUGUAGGCCCUUGGACUGCAAAGGACAGGAAGAGUCCUAAGAGGACCAGGAGCCCCUGGGAGGACAGGGGACACUCAUGGCCAGAUAACCAGCUGCCCUAGGAGCCCAGCCAGCUGGCCCAGCCCCACUGAGCCCAGUGCCUACUGCAGGAAUUGCUCCUUCACCUUCUCCUAAGUCAGCAGCAGAUCCACUGAGAGUCCCAGCUAAUAAGACGGGUGCACAACUGGGAGUCAGCCAACAUUUGAGGAGAGCCAACCCCAUGGAACAGAGACAAUACAUUCAAACAAAGGAAGAAUUUAAUGGUAAGGGGACACACCCCACCAAACUGUGACUUUGGAUGUAAUGGAACUGGUGUUGGUUCACUUCUUCUGCCGUAGGCUGUCAUUCUUCCUUUGUGGGGGUGGGGAGCAGUGACGUGAGAGAGGGCAAGACUGAGUAGGAAAAAGGCUGGCAGGGAAGCUGGGAGCUGGAGAAUCCCCGUGCCUUGGUAUUAUUCUCAUUCUGAGCUGAUAAAAUGGGCACUAACUAGCAAGGCGACUUCUGGGAUAGUUCCUGCUGCCCUGGGAGUCUCAGAAGCCACAUGACUCAAAAUAGUCUCCUUUGAUAUUCAAACCAAAGUGGACAACCACUAUCAGGUGUGCCAAACUUUGGCUGAGACUUAGAUAGACUCGGACUUUGCAGGUGUGCCCUUGUGCUUCUCAGCUGGGCCAGCUGGGCCGGGUUCACUCUGGGCCUUUCGUUUAUCGGGCCCUUAUGCAAUGCUAC
rnacentral:lncRNA from 1 species